rnacentral:rRNA from 1 species
UACGUAGGGCGCAAGCGUUGUCCGGAAUUAUUGGGCGUAAAGAGCUCGUAGGCGGUUUGUCACGUCGGCUGUGAAAACCCGAGGCUCAACCUCGGGCCUGCAGUCGAUACGGGCAGACUUGAGUACUGCAGGGGAGACUGGAAUUCCUGGUGUAGCGGUGGAAUGCGCAGAUAUCAGGAGGAACACCGGUGGCGAAGGCGGGAUCCUGGGCCAGUACUGACGCUGAGGAGCGAAAGCGUGGGGAGCAAACAGG